UUCUUUUUGAAAUUCAAAUGCAAACCCUUAUUUUGGUAGCUUUUGUAAUUCUAACGCUGCUUCUGGGGAUCAAUACUGAGACUGAGACCAGGAUUUGGAUUACGAAAAAUUCAAGUGAAUUAAAUUAUUUAUAUUUUAUAUCUUUUAAAAUGUUUAUUAUUUCUUUUAGAUACUUGUAUUUUAGAUCUAGGUGGAAUGAGAUACACAUUUCACCCGGGACAACAAAUUACACAUCCAACCCGAUGUAUGGGAUGCACAUGUCAAAAAAAAGGCUCUGAUUCUCAUUAUAGUUGCCAAGGUAUAUGCAAGGCAAUAGAUAUUACUAAUCCUAAAUGCAAAUUAGUUGCAAAAGAAGAUCUGGCGUAUCCUAAGUGUUGCCUACAUUUGGUUUGUAGUUAAUAUUUUUAUCAAUGAUUUUAUCAAAUUUUAAAACAUUAAAAGCAUAUUAUAUGUAUUUAAAAAAAAAUGAUUGUAUUUGAUUUGUGUAUAUUAAAAUAUUAAACUCUUUAAUAAAAAUUAUGCAACGUGUCA